rnacentral:lncRNA from 1 species
UAUGUGAUGAUUGUCAAGAAAAUCAUAGAGUAACAACAAAUUCUAAUGAAUGAAGGUUAUCUAAACAACAUGAGAUGUGCAGGAGAAUCAAGAUAAUAAUGGACUGAAAAGAUGAGACAAGCUGACUAAAAUGAAACAAUAAAUUGUAAAAUUCUCCAUAAAAAAUGACACCAUCAGAAUGGAUGAAAACUACAUGAUUCAGCAAAACCUUCCGACAACAAUUGUGCAGAUCCCAAACUUGAUGCUAAGCAACAAGCCUUGUAUUCAUUUCCUUCUAAUCGUAAAAUUCAAAUAAGCCGACAUCCAAGUUAUUUGCCUUCAUUGCGAUCAACAUAGAAGUAUCUCCCUAUUUCUUUGUCACAUUGACAAGAAUAUCGAGGUCCUUUCACUUCAUAUAGUUCCAUGGGUAGCAUUAAAUCUUUUCUAUUAUGUAUAAUCACUUCAUAAAAUGCCUUUUCUUUUCCUACUCAGAAUUGCAUAGAUAGCACUAAAUUUUCUUUAUUACGUCUCAUCACUUCAUUGAUUCCUUUUCUAUUUCUUUCUCUAACCUCACUAAGUUAUUAUGGUAUCAAAACGUACAGGAUCCAACCAAAGGCUUCGAUGAAGUACGAAGAAUCUUGAAAAAGAUGAUGUUUUUUUAACUAUUAGAAUGAAGGUCGCCUUCAAUAAUCAAACAUAUCACAUAAUGUGAAGUUCAGUACAGGUAAUUCAGGCUGUGCUACAGUAUGAAAAUAUAAAGAAAACAAAAUCUGGAAUUCAGGAAGUUCAAAUGAUUGAUGGAUCGAGAAUUUUGAACAGCAACAUUAUACCCCAAAUUCCUUUAUCGUCAAAAAAAAAACAAAAAGUUUCUAGAAUUUUAGAGGGACGUUUAUAGCAGCCUUUGUUUUGCACCUUGUUAAAUGAAAUACAUUUUGGGAACAGGGUGCUUCGCUUUGCUUUGCAACUUGCAGAAGAUGGGCAUAUACAGAUAAUUCUCUAUGCUAGAACUCUUUAAGAUUUUCCUAAAACUAUCACUUCCAUGUUGCAGAACACUUCCAAUGAAAUGCAAGUUUAUUUCAAAAAUGAGAGAAGAAAAAGCCAUUACAAAUAGCAAAACAAGGCAUUUCAUCUUGAAGAAAUGAUUGGGAAAAAGGAAAGAAGAAAAAGCACAAAACAGCCAAAGAUAAGCAUGGCUUUUCUCUUAUAUCUUACACAGUGAGCUACAAAUCAAUCUAUGUCUACUACAACUUUAGAAGUUCUAAAAUCCUACAAAAACAGUGCCACUGGUGAUCAACUUCUGUCAAAGCUCGUUCUCUUUCCUCAAUUGGACCAACUUACCGGAAGUCAAAAGAUUUUACUAUAUCGGGAUAGAAUUUGCAUCCAUAUAAAUGUGCACACAUAUAUGCAUGUGCACAAUAUAAACAUUAAAUACGUAAUUCAGACUAUGAAGCAACUGGAAACACUUCUGUUUCCUUGAUAUCGGUUUUCUACUCAGCCUUGCCCCUAACAUUGCAACCAAGCUACAAUGCAAUCCUCAUCUGGAUUCUGCCAAGUUUCAAUACUUACUUCCUUUGGGCUCAUGGUGGGGUGUUGAGGGGGGUGAGGCACCCAAGAUGAACAUCUAUACAACAUGUGCAAUCCAAACAAAUAUCCGUUGGUUUUCAGAUUCACUUGUAACAAAAUUCUGGCAGAAUCUCUCAUUGACUGAAGUCAAUUGUCAAUUUAUAUUUCAGGAAUACUCUUGCCCUAAGUAAACCCUGAGGGUUUAGGUUUGGGUUGAGAGUUAUAGGGAAAAGAAUACUCUUUAGUUCAAUUAAACCCCAAGGAUUUGGGUUCAGAGUUAUAGGGAGAGAUUUAAACUUUAAUACAACAUAAAUACAAGGAACCCGGAGGCCCAAUAUGACCUCAUCUCACUUUCUUCGAACUGUUAAAUGCCCCAACCAGGAAAAGUUCCCAAGAUGCAAUCGUUCCCAGCAAGCACACUCCUAGGUACAACCAUCCCAAUAAAACUGCCUUAAUAUCUCCUAGGUACAACCAUCCCAAUAAAACUGCCUUAAUAUCUCCGAUUUGCACUCUCGAUGAUCUUCUAAAACUACAGCUUCUUUCUGAUUUUUACCAUCAAAUCAUUAGGGAUUUCAACGCUCCUCAAUUUGACACUAAUUUUAUCAAAAACCAGUUUACAAAUCUUAUAAAACCUUGUUAAGAAGUUUCAUCAUCAUUGUCAUCCAAGCCUUAUCCCGACUAUUUGGAGUCGGCCACAUGAAUUUUAUUCAUCUAUUCUUCUCUAUCAAGGGUCAUACCUUUAGUAAGUCCAAAAGCAUAGGUUCAAUAUUCAUGAUAAGAUGUGGUAAAAUUUUACGCUGGCUGCCACCUAACACAACCCAACUCCUUUACCUGGGGUUGGGACAGGUUAAGGGAAAAUUUACGGUCCUCACCCCUAUUAGACCAACGCAACCUACCUUGAUAGGAAGUUUUAAUGUCGCAAAUUCUCAUAGCAACAAUAGAGAGAGGUCUUCUCUAUAAGGAAUGUCCUCUUCUUAUUUUUAAAACAAAAGAAGAAGGUUUUCUUCAUAAAUAUACAUAUAUCAUAUCCAUCAUCAUUCGAGCUUUAUCCCAACUAUUCGGGGUCGGCCAUCAUCUCGCUUUACCAAGGGUCAUACCCUCGGUCAGACCAUAAGUCAUCAUAUAUUUUUUCACUACUUCUAUCUAUGCCCCUUGGGUCCUUCCUUUUUCCCUUUUAGAGCCUUCUAGUUGAACCAAAACACCCCUCCUCAUAGGUGUGGUUUUAGGUUUAUACUGCACAUGACCAGACCACCUAAGUGUACUUUCCCUCAUUUUAUUGCCCAUUAGAGAUACUCUUAAGUCCUCUCGAAUAUAUUCAUUCCUAAUUCUAACCUUCAUUGUCUUGUUACUUAUCCAUCGCAACUACACUCAUUCUAUGGAUAUGUUGUUUCUUGACCACCCAAAAUUUCGCCCCAUAAGGCAUGUUCGGUCUUACAGCUGUACAACCGUCCUAUAUAACUGCCCUUUCAAUUUCAUUAGUAUGCGAAGAUCACAUAAGACUCCAGAAGCAUAGGGAUUCUCGAUAUAGGGUAUCCAAAAAUAAUCGCUCUAGUACUUCUUGGACUUCAAUCUUCAUUAGUUCCAGUUUCUGCUCCUAUUAUUACUAAACUUGCAUUCCAUUUAUGCCUUAGCCUGGCUAAUUUUAACACCUAAAGCAUCUCUCCAAAUUUCUAACUUUGUAUUUACGCGGUCUCAAGUCUCAUCAAUCAAAACUAUAUCAUCCACAAGCAACAUGCACCACGGGACCUCAUCUUGUAAAUGGCUAGUUAACUCGUUUAUAACUAAAGUAGAGGUAUAGGAGCAACAGUGACACCUGAUACAGGCCUACUAUCACUGAAAACUUACUUGUUUCUCUACUAGUUGACCGCUCCCUCAUACAUAUCCUUAACCAUAUCAAUAUAUCCCUUUAAGACUACUUUCUUUUCCAUCACCGACCAAAUUAUCUCUUUAGGUACUUUAUGAUAUGUUUUCUCUAAAUCAAUAAAGAUCAAGUCAAUGUCUUUUCUAUUCUCCCUAAACUUCUUAAUUAAUUGCCUAAAGAGGCAAAAAAAUGUCAAUGGUUGACCUCCCUGGCAUAAAUCCAAACUAAGUUUUUGAUACACAUUUCAUGUCUUAGUCGUUGCUCAAUCUCACAGUUUCAUAGAAUGGCUCAUAAGUUUGAUUCCUUGAUAGUUCGUACAAUUCUAUAUGUCCUUUCUUUUAUAAAUAGGUAUAACAAUACUUUUCCUCCAUUUAUUUGGCAUUUUCUUUGCUCUCAAAAUCAUGUUGAAUAACAUGGUCAACCAAAAUAUGCGAAUCUCUCCCAUGCACUUCCAAACCUCUAUUAGCAUACCAUCUGGCCCUAAGCCUUUCCUAUCCUCAUCUUUCUCAAAGCUCCUUCCACUUCAGAUAUCCUAAUCCUACGAAAGUAUCUACGUGCCUCGGACCUCAUUUAUGUCAAUGGUUCCUCCUAAUGCUAAGCUCCCAACGUGGUCAUCAUUUAAAAAUUUCUGAAAAUAGUCUUCAUCUGUCACCAUCACCCUCUGAUCCUCACUCUUAAUACGAUUAACAUGAUCUAGGUCAAUUUACUUCCCAAAUCGUACACAUUAUAUGUAGGUGCAGGGCACCUAAGAGGCUCGCCUCGGAGUAGGUGAGGUCCUUAGACAGGUGCCCUACCUUAUGUGGUCAUCUAGGUACAUGGCCUGCCACUUCUUGCAACACUGAGCACGACCAAUCUGCAAAAGCACCAGUUGGACAUUGAUAUAAAACAAGAAUUCCUACUUUGCAAGACAUUAGCCAUGACAGAGAUAUGAUCCCUUUAUAUCGUGUCCAUUGUCACUAGUGUCUCUAUCCAAUGCAGAAAAAAUAAACAUAUUCCUCAGCUUCAUUUCUGAUCUUUCACCUUGAUGAUGCCUCACCAUGGACUUCUUAAUGCGAUGGAACCGACUCUUCCGCUUGCAAAAACCAUUCCUACAGCCCAUUGUUGUGCAUUCCCAUCCACUGCUUUCGCAGACCCUUGCAUCUACUAUAUAACUUAGAAAUAUUUUUCCUUCUUAUUAAUGAAUCAAGAAUCAAGGGUAGAUUUCAAGAUUCGUCAUUGCAUGUAUCUGGUACAUUUUAUGACAAGUAAUUACAGGGAUGGGAUAUGCACAAGGUAUGGAGAGUCAUUCCCAAUAAGUUAGCUUCCAAAUUGACCACAACAAAUACAAAACAAAAUAUCUACAGGAGUACCAAAGUAAAUAUGGUAUUUUAUAGCAUCCACAUGAUGUGGACACUUGAAUGCUGCACAAACACCCUUCAACGGUUCAGAUUGAAACUAGCCACUUCUAAGAGCUUCAAGGUAAUUUUGUUUUUAUUUUUUAUUUUUCACAAAUAUUAUGGAAAUAAAAGUGGGGCAUAAAUAAAUCACGACAUGGCGAACAUGAUAAAAAUAUUAAAAAAAACAUUUUGAAUAAAAAAUGACCAAAAUACCUUUGGGGGCAUUUUGGUCAAUUUUUCUAUUCAAUUUUUAUUUGGAGCACACUAUAAAAAUGAACCUACGUCCCAAAUUUCAGGUAAAGAAAAUUUUUAAAUAAAAAAUAAAAAAUAAAUUUUUUUUAAUAUCUGGCCAUUGGAUAUGGCUUAGUUCAAAGCAAAAAAGUAAUGUAUAUAAAAGUUUCUCUCUCUCUCUCUCUCUCUCUCUCACAUAUCAAAUCCAAUCUUUCUUUCCUAGCCACAAACAUAGGCCUCUCUCGCUUGCUCGCACAUGUCCCCUAACACACCAAACUAGCCCUCUCUCUCGCAACACAGAGCCAAAUCCUAUUAGUCUCUCUCCACAUAGCCAAUACUACGAGUCGCUCUCUCCUAACCACAAAUAGGGCUCGCCUUGGGCCUACCGCUGCUGUGUAGAUAGAGAGAAACUUAGAAGCGAGCUUAUACACAUACUUCCAACACCGACAUGAUGCAGAUGAAAUACUUUCCCAUUAAUUAUAUAAAUCAUAUGGACAAAAAAUAAGUAAGGGAUACUGCUUUUAGACAUAUAUCAAUACUUUGCCAAGAAGAAAAGUAUAAAAGCAAUUCAUGGCGUCAAGCAGUGGCAGAUAGUACAGAAUCAUAUAUACAAUUUGAAUAGCACGAUUAAAUCAGCUCAUAAAGUGGAACCAAAUAGAGAAC